AUUGAACGCUGGCGGCAUGCCUUACACAUGCAAGUCGAACGGCAGCACGGGAGCAAUCCUGGUGGCGAGUGGCGAACGGGUGAGUAAUAUAUCGGAACGUGCCCGGUCGUGGGGAUAACGUAGCGAAAGCUACGCUAAUACCGCAUACGAUCUAUGGAUGAAAGCGGGGGAUCGCAAGACCUCGCGCGAUUGGAGCGGCCGAUAUCAGAUUAGGUAGUUGGUGAGGUAAAGGCUCACCAAGCCGACGAUCUGUAGCUGGUCUGAGAGGACGACCAGCCACACUGGGACUGAGACACGGCCCAGACUCCUACGGGAGGCAGCAGUGGGGAAUUUUCCGCAAUGGGCGAAAGCCUGACGGAGCAAUAACCGCGUGAGGGAAGAAUGCCUAUGGGUUGUAAACCUCUUUUUCUAGGGAGGAAGUAAAUAGACGUGUACCUGAAGAA
rnacentral:rRNA from 1 species